rnacentral:lncRNA from 1 species
AUCAAAAAUAUAAAUCUCCUCUCUAACCCAAAACCAAAAUAUUGCUGCAAUAACCAAAACCAGACUUGCAGCAAGAAUCCCCUCUUCUGCAAUCUGAAACCACGUCGAGCAAUCCUCAAUGUGAAACCCCUAUACCACAACAGGUCCAAUUCCAACAGUCUUCACAGGAUGCCAAGCCUUCACAAAACGCAACAGUCUUCACAGGAUGCCAAGCCUUCAAUGAUAAACUCAGAAGCACCUUCUUUGUGCAGUAUUUGAUUAAGUAAUGAGUGCACAAGCUAUCUCCCUUUGAAUCUCUCUCAAGAAAGAUCACCACCGUCUUCUUGGAGAAUUCUUGGAGCUGUUAACACAGAGAAUUCAAUCUGAAACAAGAAUUAAAAUAUUAGAUCAUUAAAAGUCUCUGAACAAUUUGUAUUCAGCCAAUUUAUAGUUUUUUGUCAGUCAGAUUGUUUCUCAAUCGAAUAGGCUACUAAUUCAGUCGACUGUAUUAUUACAGUUAUAACAGACAGUCAACAUAGUGGCUCUCAGUCAACCAAAAUCAACACACAUUUAAUACAAUUGACCAAGUCAUCAAUGCUUAACUAGCUUUUAAAAAUAUAGUUGUUGGAGCGCAUAAGCAUAACAGAAUUCCAAAACAAAUCAGAGAUACAGUCGAAUGUACACUAGACAAAGUCAACUGACACAUGUAAAAACACUUUGACAUUCUUUUCAACUCACAACAUCACUUUGCACUGAUUCUCAAAAUCUGUACAAAGGUUUUAGCAUAGUCGAAUCCAUUAGUAAUGUAGUCGACUGUAGUAUAACUUUGUCAUACAGUUAUAAGUUCACGAAAGUGCUUGUGAUUUUUCACUUAAAAAAUGUGUAGUAAAAUAUAUGUAAUAAAGCAUUUCACAUUGCACAUAAGCAUGUAAGCAUGUUCCACAAAUAUAUAUAUAAAAAAAUUAACAUAGGAACAUACAUCACAGUACAUCAAACAUGUUCAGCGGAUAUAUCAAUCAGUACAACAUAAGAACAUGUAAUGCAACAACACAUCUACUGUUAUUAAGCAAAGUGUUGUCAUCAUAAAAAACUAGAUUGAUAUAGAGUUUGUGUUGUCAGGAAUCUCAACAAGCGUUGGCCCUUAAGCGUUAGCCAUAGAACUCCACAACAAGGAUAGCACUCAGCGACAAAAAUGGUGCUAAACACCAACUGCGAUUCUUCUUUUAAGCAGUUUUCCUUCUUCUCUUGAGUCCAACUCCUUACUACUUCAACUUCUUUCAUCCAAUUCAUGUUAAUUCCUGCCAAAAUAAGGAAAAUAAAGCAUAAUACCAAUAAUACUACCUUCAACUCUCUUAUUCUCUAACUUAAGCAAAAAUCAUGACUUCAAGCUAGUUUCUAAGUCAUAAAGGGUGUGUUUAGUGUCAAAUUUAAGUAUAAAAAUAAUGGUAUUUCAACUGUUAUCAGUUUGUUAGUGUAGUUGUAGCUAAGUUGAGCUUUAAGAGGUGUGGAAAUAAAGAAAUUAAAGUUUGAUGGUACCUGAAAGAUAAAUUCAAGAAUAAAAAAUAAUUAAAAGGGUUAGAGCAAUUUCAAAAGAAUGGUGUAUGGAUACUCGUUAAGCUACCACAAGGGAAGCAUGUCAUUAGACCCAAUUGGGUAUUCAAAAACAAGCUAGACGAGGAUGGAAACAUUGUGAGAAAUAAAACAAGACUUGUUGCUAAAGGUUACUCCCAACAGGAAGGUAUUGAUUACACAAAAACAUACACUCCAAUUAUUAGAAUUUUAUUAUCAUUUGCAACAUUUAGCAAAAUUAAAUUAUUUCAAAUGGAUGUAAAGAGUGCAUUCCUAAACAUUGAAAUCAAAGAGGAAGUGUGUGUGGAAAAACCUUUUGGUUUUGAGUUCUCUACAAAUCCUAAGCAUGUUUUCAAACUAAAAAAAAGCAUUGUAUGACUUGAAACAAGAUCCUAGAUAUUGGUAUGAAUGUUUAAGUUCUUUUCUAACUCAAAAUCAUUUUUCAAGAGGAAAGGUAAACAAUAUGUUGUUUUGCAAAUAUGUUAACUAUGAUUUCAUUAUAGUUCAAAUUUACAUUGAUGAUAUUAUUUUCGGAGCCACCAACGAAUCUCUCUACCAAGAUUUUUCUAAUAUCAGGAUGAAUUCAAAAUGAACAUGAUGGGAGAACUCAAGUUCUUUCUAGGACUGCAAAUCAAGCAAGAGCCCGACAUUAUCUACAUACAUCAAACAAAGUAUGUGAAGAAGCUACAUAAAAGGUUAAAGUUUGAAGAAGCAAAGGAGAUGAAGACUUUUAUGCAUCAAACGACUAGUUUAGGGCUAGACAAAAGCUCUACAAAAGUGGACAACACCAUUUAUCGUCAAAUGAUAAGUUCACUCUUGUAUUUUAUAACAUCUAGACCUAAUAUCAUGUAUAAGGUUUGUCUAUGUGCAAGAUUUCAAUCUGAUCCUAGAGAAACCCAUUUAACUACUAUUAAACAAAUUCUUCGUUAUCUUAUUGGCACUACUAAUCUUGGUCUGUGUUUCAAAGGAAGAAAAACCUUUACCUUGUAGGGAUAUUAUGAUGUUGAUUAUGCUGGAGAUAUGAUUGAAAGAAAAAUCACAAGUGGAGGAUGCCAUUUCAUAGGAUGAAAUCUAGAGUCUCUUGGACAGGCAAAAAGUAACGAAUCAUUGCUCUCUCAAUAGCUAAAACAGAAUACAUCACAAUUGCAAGUUGAUGCAUUCAACUUUUAUGGAUCAAGAGUCAAUUGGAAGACUAUAGUGUCUAUCAGAAUAAAAUUCCUAUCUUUUAUGAUAAUAGUAUUGCCAUAGGUCUUUCUAAAAAUCCGAUACUACAUUCAAGAGUUAAACACAUUGAAAUCAAACAUCACUUUAUUCGUGAUCAUGUUUAGAAGGGUACUAUAGAUUUGCAAUACAUAAACACUAAAAGUCAGCUUGUUGAUAUUUUCACUAAACCCUUGGUUGAGGAAAGAUCUAAUCUUUUAAAAAUCUUUUGGGCAUGAAAAUGUUCAAUGAAUGAAUUUGAAUCAAUGUGUUUAUCACUUGUCAUAUAGUGUCUAAGUAUAAACGUCAAAUGACACAUCAUCUAAUGAUGUCAUGCUCAAUUGUAUCGUCUAAGACAUAUCGUCUAUGGACAAUUAAUAUUGUUAGAGCGGUGCAGCGGAAUGGUUAACGCGUUAAAUAAACCAAGAGGAGGGUGAAUUGGUUUCUUAUCGCAAAUCGUUCUUUUAAUAUUUUUCUCGCAAAAUAUAAAUUCCUUAAUAACAAUUUAAACAAAAUUAAAGAGUAAGGAAGAGAGAAAAUUGCACAAGUAAUUUUUAUACUAGUUCGGAUCACAGAGAUCCUAUGUCCAGUUAUUAGUCUCAACCAAGAAUUAACACUUCACUAGUACAAACCAACAAACUGUUAUAAUCACAAAGAAAAUAAAACAGUUUAAGGUUAGAACACCUCUAUUAUUACCCCAAGAGAUGAAACUCACUUCCCCUGUAACCCACAAGGGAUGAACACCUCCUCCGAAUGCUUCACGAAGGAUGACCACCUCCUUUGAAUCUUCACAAAGGAUGAACACCUCCUUUGAAUCUUCACAAAGGAUGACAUGCUUUAAACUCAACAAACAACAACAACACUCAAUUACACUCCCACUGAAAGUUCUCGCUCAAUGCCAACAUGCCAAGUUCUCAAAUCCACAACACAAGGGUUCUGUAAACCCUAGAACACUUAUCACCGCACACUAUAGAUAAGAAUUUCGAAAAUACACUUAUUUUAUAUUCUUCGUAUAUUAGAAUGAGAAUCCCAAUCUAAUUUAUAGAGAUCUCGCUCAAGGAUACCUCCAAAAAUUCGUUGUCACCUAAUUAACGUGAUAUAAUCGAUUAUCCUAAUAUGGUAAUCGAUUGUGCAUCAGUAAAUGCACAAUGGUAAAAAACUUGCAUACAAAUUCUCAUAACUUCUAAUGAUAAUCGAUUAUGGAAAGUCCUAAUCGAUUAUUGAUAAUCGGUUAUCAUAAGUGGUAAUUGAUAACGGUUCAAAAACCGUUGUUUUCAUACUUAAUUUUGAUACAAAAUACACCCUUUAUGACUUAAAAAUUAGUUUGAAAUCAUGCAAAUUGCUUUAGUUAGGAUAAAAGAGAGUCAAAGGUGGUUUUAGAGAUAUUAUGCUUGGUUUUCCUUGUUUUGACAGGAUUAGACGAGAAUUGAAUGAUGGAGAGUGAAGUAGGAAGGAGUUGGACUCAAGAAAGGAUGAAAAAAGGUGCAAAAGAAGAAUUGCAGCCACCGCUCAGCGCCAGUUUCAGCGCUGAGCGCCAACUUUGUGAAGAGAGCCACUGUCAGACGCUUAAGCGCCAACGUUGAGGGGAAAUGUUAGAGUCGCGCACACCACUGAGCGUCAAAUCCAACAUUGAGCGCUGGCCUUCUCAGAAAUAGCACUGCCAAACGCUUGGGUGUGAACGCUGAGCAUCCCACUUGAGCGCCGCACCUACCGCUGAGCGGUGAAACCAACGUUCAGCGCUGUAGUUGGGCUUGAGCCUGUUUUCUGUAAUUUUUCAUAGAUUAUAAAUAGAUUUGUGCGAACCUUAGGGUUAUCUUUUGGUAGAGAAAAGACGCAGAAACACCCAUUCUCACUCCUUAGAGGCAGAUUUUGGAUGCGAAAGCUCCAAUCUUUCAAUUCUAGGGUUAUCUCUUUCUAUUUUCCAUUCAAUUCAUAUAGUUUCAACAUGACAAUGGUGAACUAAAACCCUUUGUUGUUGGAGAACGAUGUAAUCCUAUUGAAACUCUCUUAUAUCGAAGUUCUUAUUUUAUUCAUGUACUUUAGUUAUCAAUAGUUUGAGUUUUUUUCUCUAUACUUUAUGCUUGCAUUGUUUAACUCAUUCAAUGUCAUGAUCAUUGAUUUUGUCGAUAUGGACACAUACANGGAAAUCUAGACAUGAGGGGAAUUCUCUUGAUUAUGCAAUAUUAUCUAGACAUAGGAAUAGGACUGUCAAUUGCUUUAAGCUUUUGUACACUAAAAUGCAUGACUAAUUACUAGGGAGACUAGACAUAGUAAACUAGUAAUUGGGAGUAGGCUCUCUUCGCCGAGACAUCGGGUUUAGAGUAAAUCAGAAAGUUGCAUGAACAUUGAUAACAAAGUUGAAUUUAAUAAGAAUAGUAGAUAUAAGAGAGUGGAUUAGGAUGUAACCGUAAAACCCAUCAACACCAUUCAUCCAUAUCUUUAUCUGUCAAUUGAUCAAGCUUUUGCAUUUGCAUGUUUAUUUUAGUUGUUUGCAUUACAACCUCUAAAUUCAUUCUUUGUCAAGUCUUAAGAAAUCAAUUCACAUAAAUGAUUAGGCCUAAGAGUCCAUUGUGAUGGGGAAGUGCAUACCUAGAGAGAAUAUUCUAAAUGUCAUUUAAGAGAAUGGAAAACAAAUUAAAAUUGGAAAAGAUUAGAGAAAGGAAACUUAGGAAAUGAAGAUGCGUCACUUGAACAAGCUUCCAAGAUAAGCAUCAAGAGGAGGAUCGCCACUUGCUUGAGCAAGAUAAGGUCUGCCCAAAUUUGGGACUUUAAAGACAAAAUUCUAUCUCAAAGAAGAAUGCAAGAUUGCAAUUCAACUCAAAUUUCAUUCAAUGCAAAGGUGUGUACAAAAGGAGACCCCUAAGCCUUCUUAUAUAGCCUUUGGAGUGAGCUUGGAAGCUAGAUCUAGGAGAUGUGGGACUUUUGAGGGUGUAGUUCGUCCAGCAGCUGCUGCACAUUCCUCUAGGGGCUUUUAAGUCCCACAUUGCUCAAAUCUCUCCACUCCAAAGGGUUUAUAAGGCAACUAGUUCUCCUAUAGUUCAAAACAUGAAAACUAGCUAUGCUACUAGCUCCUACACGCCUAGAAUGCUCACUUUCUCUUCUCUUCUUUUUAAGAUCAAGCCAUGGAUAGUCCCACAUUGCUUGCUCUUAAAGAGAAAGAAGAGUUUAUAAGCAAUUAUUCACAAGAGCUAAGAGAAAGAAAUCACAAGGAAAAUACACGCCCCAAAGGAAACCUAUUCUACUUUUUUUGAUACAAACGUGUAAAGAAGACAAGAAGUAAAAUGAUUCCCUUUAGUCAUGCUUCUUGUCAUCCUUUUAUUCUCUUCAUUACUUGGCCCAUCCAUGAUCACAUCAUCCCCCCCAGGUUGGAGAGGAUUCGACCACGAAUCUGUGAAAUCUGCAAAAGGAGAAAGAUCAGCCACAUUAAAAGUAGGAUGUACAGUAUAAGUGUUAGGCAAAUCAAUCUCAUAUGCAUUAUCAUUUAUUUUGCGGAGGACUUGAAAAGGACCAUCGCCUCUAGGAUUGAGUUUGGAUUUCCGUUGCGAAGGAAAUAUAUCCUUGCGCAAAUGAACCCAUACCCAAUCACCAGGAGAGAAAGUAACCGUUUUCCUACGCUUAUUGACACUAGAUGCAUGCUUUUGAUUGGUGUGUUCAGUGCGCGUCUUAACUCGAUUUUGGACACACCAUCUAAGCACAUGGACUCAAGGUCGGGAAGGGGAAGAAGAUCCAAUGGAGUGAGAGGAUUAAACCCAUAGACAAUGUGAAAAGGAGAAUGAGUGGAAGUAGAGUUGACAACCCUAUUAUAAGAGAAUUCAAUAUGGGGUAGCAACUCGUCCCACUUGCGUGGAUUGCCCUCAAGACAACAUCUCAACAAUUGUCCCAAAGUUCUAUUAGUCACCUCAGUCUGACCACCGGUUUGUGGAUGACAAGUUGUAGAGAAAAGAAGUUUAGUACCCAACUUGUUCCACAAAGAUCGCCAGAAAUGACUAAGGAACUUGGAAUCUCUAUCAGAAACUAUCGUCUUAGGCAAACCAUGCAGUCGAACAACCUCUCUAAAAAAUAAAUUAGCAAUGUGUACCGCAUCAUCUACUUUGUGGCAAGGAAUAAAGUGUGCCAUCUUUGAAAAACAGUCCACUACCACAAAGAUAGAAUCCAUCCCUCGCUGUGUCCUAGGUAAGCCCAAAACAAAAUCCAUAGAAAUGUCAACCCAAGGACUACUAGGCACGGGCAAAGGAGUAUACAAGCCAUGAGGGUGGGUGGUGGAUUUAGCAUGCUUACAUGGAAUGCAUUGACUACAAAACAUAGCUACAUGUUUAUGCAUAUGUGGCCAAUAGAAAUGCUCAUGAAGAAUAGCUAAAGUUUUUGCAAUCCCAAAGUGCCCCAUCAAAGGUUUGGAUCCAAAGCUUUGUCUUCUUGCUUUUUCUUGGAUGAACCAUGCUCAUGACCAUGAGAUCGCUUCCCUUUAACCUUUGUUUCCGAGUCUAACCGCUUGCUCAUGGCAUCAAGUUGAUGUUGCAUUUGUUGGAAGGCCUUCAUCACAUCAAACUUGCUAGAAGGACUUCCAUGGGGGCUAUCUCCAUGAAAUGAAGCACGAUUGGAACCUGCAGCCAUGGUAAGGCAACAACCACAAAAAACUAACACCAAAAACAGGUUAGAACCACAGAAAAUUCACGGCAAUGCAGCAGCUCAAAACUGGUCACGGUUUCACUCAAAUAAAGCAAUGAAAUGGUUCAAAACUCACAACAAGUGUCUCAAAAAAACAAGGGAAGGGCAACACCCUUCUUUUAAGAUAGUAAAAUGUCUCACAAGUCCACUUUGAGAGCACCAAAUCAAGUCCAAAGCAAAUGGAAAGAUGUACAAUCCACCCUCAAUGCAAAGAAGCCAAAUCAAGACAGCACAUGGUAGAAGCCAAAAAAUGAAUGAAAACUACAAGACAAAUGAUGAAAAUAGAACCUAAAAAUCAAGAAACUUGGCACAAAAACAAGGAGGCAGCAAUUUAAUGAUUUUAUGAAGACAAAACAGUAAGAAAAUGGAGUCCAAACAGUGGCACAAAAUGAACAAGGCAGCAAAGAAAAUUAACACAACUAAGGAGCAAAAUCACAUCAACAUGCUACGCAUACAUGAAGAGCAAGACCGAAUUAAUGCUGGAAAUAAUUUUGGCAAACCUCAAACCAAAAUAUUCUCUAUUGGAGAUGAAAAAGAGGCUCUAAAUGAAGCAAUCAAACACACCAAUCAAUGAGAAAACUCUCGGCCAAGCACACCAAACAACAACCAAUUUUUUGUUGAUUUUAUUUUGAUACAGCAAAUAACACUUGGUAAAAUGUCUCGGCCAAGCCACUUUAAUGAAGAAAAUGUGUUUGAUUGGAAGCACAAUUGUAAUGGUUUAUAGCCUCUAUUUAUACAAAACAAAUAAGCAAGGUUCACACGCUUAAAUCCAAUGAUGAUCAAGCUCAAUUCAGCACACAAACAUGGAGAUGUAAAAAAUACUCUUAGCUAUGCAAUUUCAAAAAAUUACUCUAGAAAACUCCUAAAGAGGAACAAACAUAUGACUCAAUUCAAAGCUAAUAAGCAAGAAAAGACACAUACAAUCCAGCCAAGACAAGAAAUUAAAGUUGGAACAACAAACAAAAUGGAAUAAGGACACCUACUUGUUGAAGACCUCCAAUAGCAUAGUUGUUGUUUGAAGAAAUGUCUACUUGCACAAGGCUCUGGACAGCCACGGUUUAGCCCCUCCAAGCAUUGAUUUGAAGUCUUUAAUCCUUUCUUAAGAGUGUUGGGAGGGUGGAGCAACGUCCAGUGAUUAAUUCCAGCCACAACAAAGUCCAAACAGCCAACAACAAAGCAAAACAAUGGAGUAUUAAUUCAACAGCAGAAUACUGGAUGAACACAGUGGAGAAAAAAAUUUACUGGGAACAGCACAUAACGAAUUUUAAUAAAGUAAAAAUUAUACAUGAAAAUAGACAUCCAGACGAAACUUUUAAAAAACAUUUCAUGGAAAACGAACAAGAAAUGAAGCUAAACUAAAUCAUACAAUUUGACACACAAUUCACGCUGCGCUGAGCGAAAAAAUUUUGGCUGAGCGAAAAUGAACAUAUAUGUAAACUAUUCUACUCUAGCAUGCAAUUCCUAAGAGAUCAAAAACCUAAGGCUCAUGAUACCACAUGAUGGGGAAGUGCAUACCUAGAGAGAAUAUUCUAAAUGACAUUUAAGAAAAUGGAAAAGAAAUUAAAAUUGGAAAAGAUUAGAGAAAGGAAACUUAGGAAAUGAAGAUGCGCCACUUGAACAAGCUUCCAAGAUAAGCAUCAAGAGGAGGACCGCCACUUGCUUGAGCAAGAUAAGGUCUGCCCAAAUUUGAGACUUUAGAGACAAAAUUCUAUCUCAAAGAAGAAUGCAAGAUUGCAAUUCAACUCAAAUUUCAUUCAAUGCAAAGGUGUGUACAAGAAGAACCCCUAGGCUUACUUAUAUAGCUCUUGAAAGGUGUUUGGUGAAGAGUUUCAAGUGAUGUGGGACUUGAAAAGCUCCAAGUUCUGUCCAGCAGCAGCUGCAACGUCCCUAGGUGCAUGGGAGUCCCACAUUGCUUAAUUCUCUCAUUCCAAAAGGGUUUAUAAGCUUCCUAGUUCUCCUAGAGUUCAAAAGCUAACACUAGCUAUGCUAUCUUGCACUAAUGCCUAGGACGCCCAUUUCCUCUCCUAUUCUUUUUAAGACCAAGCCAUGGAAAGUCCCACAUUGCUUGUUCUUAAAGAGAACGAAGAGUUUAUAAGCGUUUAUUCACAAGAACUAAGAGAAAGAAAUCAAAUAGGCAAAUACACGCCUAUGAAACCUACACUAUUCUUUUUAAUUCUUUUUGUCACUCUAAAAGCUCUUCAUUGUUGCCCCAUCUAUGAUCAUAUCACCUUGGGAAACAAUAUUCGGACUUACUGUCUAUUUAUUACUUGAUACGAUCUAUUGAGAUUGUUGAUAGGGGGAGCACUGGAUUGGCUGAACCCACAAUCUCUAUGAUAUUCGUUUUUGUGUUUUUGAUGAUGACAACACAUUGUUUAAUAAAAACACAUGUGUAUGUACUACGUAAUUUGUGAUAUAUGUUUAUGCUUACUGUGAAAAUGGUACAAGCAUAUCUGUGAACAUAUUGUUAUGAUUAUUGCAUACUAUUGUGUUUGAAAUGUGAUUGUAUUUGUGUGUGCAUAAAAUGUGUUUUGGAAAUGAAAAACCACAUGCAUCAAGCAUAUCUGCAUGACCAAAUCGAUUACAAUGAAGUGUUAAUCAAUUAAGGUCAUCAGACGAACUUAAGCUUUAAACUGUGGCAAAACAACAAGUUUUAAUUCGAUUACGUUAGUGGUUAAAUCGAUUAAAACUUGUGUGUUUGCACAAAUAUUUUUCAAAGUGUGCUGUAAUGAAUUUGAGAAGAAAUGUUUUAAAAUAUGUUAAGUGUUACAACUUAAUCGAUUGCAUGAAUCAUGUAUUCAAUUAAGUUUGAAACAAAUUUGAAAAUUGUUUCAUUGCUUGACAUAACUGUCACAACGAUCAUAUUUUUAAAUAUGUUGACCAAAUAUUUAUUGCAAGUCCAUUACAUUAAUUGAGCAUUCAAUUAAUUGUGUUGACUGCUAUUAUUAUGUUAUAACUGUGGAAUGUAUUCGAUUAGAUUAAUAACAUAAUCAAUUCAAACGCGUUUGAUAUGACUUAUACUAUAAAUAGACGCAUGAUUUGAAUGUUGUAAGACAAUUGUGAAUUUACACUUUCAUAUCUGUUUUAGAUUACAACCUUGAGUUUUAUAGAAGAGAGAAAAGCUCCAAAAACCAAGAAUUGUCAUGGUGAUCAAAGUCUUGAAGGUUUCUUGUGGAGCAAGAUUGUUCGUUUUGGAAAGUCUGAUAGUUCUGCACACAGAAGGUGCUUACUGCUUGAUUAGGAGCUAUUGCAAUCAUUGAGAGUUGUUGUUUCCCUAUGGUGUAUACAGAAAGAAGAACGUCGUUCUUGACAUUGAGGGGGAUCUCAAAGGGUUGACUGCAGAAGAGGAUUGUUCUUACUGCUAGUCUGUUUUUGUGUAUGCUUAUAUUAGUUUAGUGGGUUAAAGAGGUGAUUUACAUUUAGUGCGAUUCAAGAAAAGUUUAUAGACUUAGUAUUUUCUGAUAGCGGUUCAAAAACUGUUAUUUUCAUACUUAAAAUUGAUACUAAAUCACACCCUUUAUAACUUAGAAUUAGCUUGAAAUUGUGCAAUUUGCUUAAGUUAGAGAAUAAGAGAGUCAAAGUUGGUUUUCUAGGUUUUAUGCUUGGUUUUCCCUUGUUUUGGCAUGAUUUAUCAGAAAUUGAAUGAAGGAAGUCAAGAAGAUAAGAGUUGGAUGCAAGAGAAGGCGGAAAAGAGAAGAAAAUAAGGAUCGCAGCUACCGCCAGGCGGUGAAAUCACCACUGGGCGGUAUCCUCUUUGGAGAAUUCUCUGCCAGACGCUUAAGGGGCAACACUAAGGGGUGAAGUGGAGUAUCAUGCAUACCGUCGAGCGGUGGACUCUUCAGUGGAUUCUCUGGACGAUGCUCAAGCGGUAGCCGUGAUGGGUGAGAUCAAGUGCCGCACCCACCGUCGGGCGGUGUACUAUUGGGCCUAGGCUAAAUUUCUGUUAUUUUUCUGAGUUAUAAAUAGAAUUGCACGAACUAGAGAGACUAUCUUUUGGUAGAAAAGACGCACAAACACAUUCUUCUCACCUUAGAGGCGGAUUUUGGAUGCGAAAGCUCCGAUCUAUCAAUUUUAGGGUUAUCUUUUCCAUAUUUUCAUUUAAUUCAUUUAUAUUCACCAUGAUUAUGGUGAACUAAACCCUCUUGUUGUUGGGGAAAUGAUGUAAUCCUAUUUGAAACUAUCUUAUAUUGAAAUUCUUGCUUUAUUCAUAUACUUUUGUUUAUCAAUUGUUAGAGUUUUUUUCCUCCAUUAUAUUUGUAUGCUUUGUUUAAGACAUUAUUCAAUAGCAUAAUCUUUGAUUCUAUCUAUAUGGACACGUAUAGUUAGGUCUAGACAUUAGGGAUUUCUCUUGAUAGCAACAUUACCUAGACAUAGGGAUAUGAGGAUCAAUUUCCUUAAGCUUCUAUGCAAAUUAUGUAACGCAUGAAUAAUUGCUAGGGAGACUAGACAUAGUAAACUAGUAAUUAGGAGUAAACUAUAUACACCAAGAUAUUGGAAAUAGGGGAAUUCAGAAAGUGGCAUUAACAUUGAUAAAGAAGUCGAAUUUAGUAAGAAUAGUAGAUAUAUGAGAGUGGAUUAGGAUGAAACCGUAAACCCCAACAACACCAUUCAUUCAUAUAUUCUAACUGUCAAUUGAUCAAUCUUUGCAUGCAUGUUCCUUUUCCGUUUUGCAUUAAAAACACUAAUUUUCAUUUCAUCAAGUCUUAAGAAAUCAAUUCACACGAAUGUUUAGGUCUAAGAGUCCUUUGGGAAAAGAUACUAGGACUUACCGUUUUAUUAUUACUUGAUACGAUUCGGUACACUUGCUAGAGUGUUAACAAGUUUUUGGCGCCGUUGUCGGGGACUCGUGGUUUAACUUUACCAGUAGUGUGAUUUUUAAUUGAAUUUGACUUGAUUUUUUGUUUUCGUUUUUGGUUUUUGUUUGAUUUUUAUAUAAAAGUGCUUUUUAGGGUUUUGUUUCUUGUGUAUGCAGGAUACAAUUCAUACUAGGACCAAGAAAAAUCAACAACCUCUUCUUGAAGGAUUUAGUGCAACUCGAAGGAGAGGGAAGGUUUGAAGAUCAUCUAGAGAAUUAUUCCCCUCUCUUGAGAGACUCUUGCAACCCUCACCAGAAGUAUCCAACCAGAGCAUAGAAGAGAUGGCUAAGUGAUGAAGGUUGAAAAAUAGUUAUUUUCAUAUGUCAAUUUGGACCAAGUUACACCCUUUACUACUCGGAAUGAUCUUAGAAUCAAGCAAAACUCAAUAAAUGAGUCUUGAGAGAGUCAAAAGUUAUAUUUAGCGAUUUUAUGCUUGUUUUGCAUUGUUUUGUAGCUAAUUUGAGAAAAGUAAAGAAUGGAAUUAAAGAUACAGGUCGUUGACUCAAGAAAAGAGCAGAAAAAUGAAGAUUUAAAGAGUCGACGCACCGCCAGGCGGCACACUUAAACCGUCGGGCGGUCCAGGACGAGGAGAAGGCAUGGCAAUUGACGCUGGGCGACCUUGAGGGAAACCGCCCGAUAGUGGCGAUUGCAGCCGGGCGGUUUGGAGGACUUGUGGCAAACCACCGGGCGACACACGUAAACCGCCCGGCGGUGGCUCGUUGGACUUGGGCCCAUUUUCUGACGCGCUCCUCACCUAUAUAUACCCCUAUUGCGAUUUCAGAAUCAUUCUUUUGACAGGGGAGAACGACCAGACCUAAUUUUACUCUCUGGAGAAGAUCUCUUGGAUGCUUAGGCUCCUUUUCAUCUUUUCUAGGGUUUGUUUUUCCAUUCUUCUUCCAUUUCUCAUCUAGUUUCACCAUGACUAUGGUGAACUAAACCCUAUUGUUGUUGGGGGAAACAAUGUAAUCUUUUGAUACUCUCUCUUAUUGAAUCACUUGAUUAUUUAUAUGGUCUCCAUAUGUUUUGAUUAUUUAUUGUUGGGUUAUCAUCUAUGCUUAAGGCCUUCAUCGUUUAACUCAUUCGGUGCAUUGAUGUUUGUCUUUAUUGAUAUGGAGACGUACAGUAAUGACAUGAACUGGUGAGUAAUGUCUUUAUUUUGCAAUACCACCUAGAGAUAGGGGUAGGAAAAUCAAUUGCGCUAACUUCUGUUUAUAAUGCGGUAUUAAUUACUAGGGGAGGUUAGGGAUAGCAAGCCGGUAGUUAAUAUUAGGCCCUUUUCGCCGAGAGAUCGGGUUAAGGGGAGGCUAAGAAAGUCGCAUAACAAUCAAUCAAACUAAUAUUCAAGGGUAGUAUGUAAGAGAGAGUGGAAUAGAUGAAAUUGUAAUCCCCCAACAACAUCCAUUCAUCCAUUGUUUUCGCUUGUCAAUUGAAUCAACUUUAUUUUUGCAUGUUAAUAUUUUUAUCCCCAAAUAUCCAAUUUAUUAAUUUUUCUUUUUCAAGUCUUAUUAUUUUAAUUCGUGCGAACGAGGAAGCCAUGCAAGUCUCUUGGGAAAACGAUACUUGGUCUUACCAUUUAUAUUAUUUGUACGAUUUGGUACACUUGCCAAUUUGUCAACAAGUUUUUGGCGCCGUUGCCGGGGACUCGAGGUUUAUUCAUCUAGUAGUGUGGUGUCGCAACCGGAAAAUCGCGACGGGACGACGAUCCAAAAAGAAAAUGUUUUUGAAAAAGAGAUUGGAGUCACCACCAUAGUUUAUUCUGGAAAACUACGGAAAAACCAUAAAUUGACAAGGCAAGGUCUACAAAACCAAAUUCUGGUUUCGAAAGUCGGUUACGUGUGGGGAAGGUGUUAGCACCCUCACAACGCCUGCCCUAAGGUAGUACCUUUAACUAAAUACGUGAAUUUGAUGUGGUUUGCAAAAUGUUUAAUUUCCCCUAAAAAAUAAAACUCUAAAGAAAACAAAAUAUUUUUUUUGUGUUUUUUGUGCCCGACAAGGAUUGACCUUGCUCCUACGUAUCCUCAGUUGGACUGAGAAAUCAGGGUUACGUAGUUCUUUAAGAAACCAUUUGGAAAAUUUGUUUGGAAAGUUUGUUUUGGAAAAUUUAGAUUUUUGGGAAAGUGAGCCUGACAAGGACUAGCCUUGCUCCUACGUAUCUCCACUUUGGAUAGAGAAUCAAGGAUCACGUAGUUCUGGCUGAAAGAUUGAUUGUUUGUUUGUGAAGAUGUUUUUUAGUUUUUUGAAGAUUUUCUAUUUUUUGGUAUUUUUAUAGAAAAAGGAAAAGGUGUUAGCACAAGGCAGACGGAAUGAUCGCACGUGUGCUUAAACCUUUCAAAAUAAAUUUUUGUUGAUUUUUUCGAUAGAAGAAGAAAAAGGUUUUCAGCACAAGGCAGAUAGAAUGGUCGCAUGUGUGCUUAAAUCUUUUAAAAUAAAUUUUUAUUAAUUUUUUUGAAAGAAGAAGAAAAAGGUUUUCAGUACAAGGCCGACAGAAUGGUCGCACAUGUGCCAAAACCUUUUAAAAUAAAUUUUGAAAGAAGAGGAAAAAAAAAGGUUUUCAGCACAAGGCCGACAGAAUGGUCGCACGUGUGCUUAAACCUUUUAAAAUAGAUUUUUUGUUAAUUUUUUGAAAGAAGAAGAAAAAGGUUUUCAGCACAAGGCAGACAGAAUGGUCACACGUGUGCUUAAACCUUUAAAAAUAAUUUUUUGUUAAUUUUGAUAUUUAUUUAAAAGUAGAUAAAGUAAAAUAAAUAACAAGUAGAAAAAUAGAAAUAAGAUAAGUAGGUAAAUUACUAAGUAAAAAUAAAGAGUAAAAAAAAUAAAAAUGAUAUGAAAGGUUUAAUUAUGAAAUAAAAUAAAAAGUGUAGUGGUGUUUAAAUAAAAGAUUGCGUGUCUAGAUCACUUUUUUUUUUUUUAAUUUAUUGGGCUCAAACUCAAGUAGUCAGAGGUGUGAAAACGAAAUGAGGGUGCAGAAAAGGAAUUUCUUGUUUUUGACUUGGCCCAGAGUUGGCUUAGGCAAAAAAUAGAGAAGGGGUGUGUGUGGGAGCAAAGAGGGGUGGUGCGAAAGGGAAAAGGCUUUUAUAUUUUUUAAAAAAAAAAAGAAAAGGAAAAGGACCCACGGCCCAAGAACCCCCCAAUAGCAGAACUUAGGGGUUCUUUCCUUCCUCCCUCAUUCCUCACACGCUCAACAUCAGAAAUCCCAGAAGCUAGGGUACCCUGCAAGAGAAAAACAAGCCAUGGAGGUUCGCCUCCUCCACCCACUCACGCACACCGCCGCCGUCGCGGAAUCAACCACGCCGGCCACCGCAAGCCGAGAACCAGGGUGUCGCCGGCGACUGCUCCGAUCUCUCUCUUCCCCUCUCUUCUUCACCUGCGAGGCUGACGCACUCGCCUUCUAUUUGCGCUGCAACCAGUCGCCACCUCUCGGACCGCGAACCAGGGUCGCGCCGUCGAUGCAACCCGCUACCGGAGCCGUCACCACUCGAUCCAAGGCGUCGCCGGCAACACCAAUCAUCAAUAGGACCAAUCUGCGCGUGAGAGAGAAGGACCGUUCUGUGACGACGAAUCUCCACCACCACGAACGAAUCCAGCCACCAUCGACAAAGCUAGCCGCCGCUCUCCUCGCCGGAACCGCUCCCUCACCGAUGCCACCAGCGUCGCGCUCCUCCCUCUCCAUUCGAGGGUUUUUUCCUCAAACACCAAACGUCCAAACCGACACUCAUCGCUAGUGUCAAAGACGAAAGCGAUUUCUUUGCUUAUCUUGUUAAUUCAUCUAUCAAUUAAUGAUUUGUUUACUGGGAUUGGAAACAUUGGAGUGUGUGUUGGGUGCUAGAAAUUGGUCUUCAUUCUUGGUUUUUUUUUUUUUUUUGUUCUCGGUGAUUGGUUUUUAUUUUUUUGGCUUUGUACAGCGCAGGUUGAGGAUGGUGGUGUUAUGAUUGAGCUGGGAUGGAGGUUCUAAUGAGGAUGGAGAUAAUGGUUUGCUUGUUCUUCUUCUUACUGUUGUGUUUUUGUUGAUUUUGGAAGGGACAAUGUAAUGAGAAAAUGAAGGAAAGGGUGAUUCUGGAGGUGGCCAUGAUAUUGGAGGAUGAUGGAAUAGGUUAUUGGGGCUGCAUAGGGGAUUGGUGGCUGGGAGAAAAUGGCUCGGUUGGUGAUGAUAUUGCUCUGUGUGUGUUUCUCUUGAUGGUGUUGGCUUGUGGAAACAGAGACAGAGAAAUUUUUCAAUGUUUGCCUGAUAUUAUGUGUAUGGCGUAAAGGGGUUGAGGAGGAUGGAACUACGACGACAUGAGGAUUCUGGUGCAAGAGAUGACGUGAUUGGGGUUUUGUUUUCUUAUCUUUCUACGUUUCAGGUGUUAGUUGAAAUCUUGGCUUUGUUUUGGUUGCGGGUCACACAACAAUGGUGGAUUGGUCGUUGGUGUCGUCAGGAAUGAGGGGGAAGAAUGAUAGCUACGUGGUGGCCAUAAGAAACGCUAUGAAAACAGUGGUGGUGGUUUUACGAAUGACUCAACGAGGUUGGGUUAAUUUUUUUCUUGGUCGUUAACUCCAUUUAACAUGGGUGAAGAGGGAACAUGGCAUGGGAUAGUGGAAAUAGUGAUGGAGAACAAGAGAGAUUCAUGGUAUCAUACACGAUCACGCAUAAGAUAGUAUGAAAAUAUUCAACAAGAAUUAUAGCAGCAAUGCAACAACAAGCAAAUUGUCUCACUAAAACAUGAAGUGCAGGGAAGCAUGAGUUACCUCUUGCAGAUUCAAUUGCUAAUGUCAACUUGGGUCUCUCCCUUUUCCCUAACAGACGAGCUUCUCCCUUUCCCUUUCUAUGAAUCUUCCAACUCCAACGAGGCGAUUUUCUCGUCAGUGAAAGCGAACUUUUUCCUUUGUCUCAGAGAGAGUUUCCCUUCUUGUUAUUUUUCUGAAGAACUUUGGUCACUCCCUUUCAAAAAUGCCAGUGUAUUCCCCUUAACACUCCUCUCUUCUCUUUUUUCAAUCCUCCCCUCAGCUUUUGUUGCUUGCUCUCUUUUUUUUUAAUUCCCUCUACACCAAAUGCUUUAACCGUUUCUUCUGCAAAUCCCCCAACCAAAAUUGCCUGCCACAGACCAAAACCGCAAUUUGUCUUUGCUUCCUCUAGACCAACUUAUUCCCUCUUGUCGUUAUGCACACGUAUUUUUUAUAUUAUUUUUUUAUAUUUUUUUCUUUUAUUUCCCUUUUUUUCUUUUUCUUUAAAAAAACAAAAUAUAUCAAAUCUUUUUCUUUUCUUAAUUAUAUUAAUUACGCUAAACAAAGUUAAAAAGGAAAAGUGAGAUAAAAUAGAAUAAUAAUAAAUAAAACAAAAAAGACAUAAAAUAAGAUAAAAUAAGAAAAUGCGUAUGUUAUAGCCACCCAGACGAAAUUGGGUGUUGACAUGUGGAUUAAUUGAAUUUGACUUGAUUUUAUGUUUAUUUUCAUUUUUGUUCUAAUAAAUGUUUUCUAGGGUUUUGUGCCUAACUUUUGCAGAAUGCCGUUUGGGCAAGAGUUUGAUUUUGUAAGCACUCAAUUCUACCAAAAUGAUUUCAACCACUGGGGGAUCCUUUUUCAAAUAUAUAUCGAAACCACUUAGGGCAUCAGUCCUCUUCACGAAAAGAAACGUUAGGGGAAGCUAAAGAACGCUUAUGGCAUGAACCUUUCUUUGUACCAAAAGAAACGUUAGGGAGGGUCCAACCAUUCUUGCGACAGCACGUACUCUCUAUACCAAAAGAAACAUUGGGGGAAGCCCAACAACAUUUACAACAAGAACAAUCUUCUGUACGAAAAGAAACAUUAGGGGAAGCACAAGCACGUUUAUUGCAAGGACAACAUUCUCAUGCCCUGAAGGUUUUAGGCAUUAUUAAGGUUGAUAUUGAAGUCAACCCUAAAGAAGAAUGUCAAGCCAUUAUCUGUGCACACGAUAAGGUUCUCACUGAAGAAAAGAAAGAAGAAGAAGAGCUAGAGAUGUUGGGAGAGGAGACAAAAACAGAAGAAGUGGUUGUGGAGAAAAAUAUAGAGGAGAUAGAAGAAAAGAAUUUGACUGAGAGUGAGGAGAAAGAUGAGGAGAGAGAAAAAGAAGUGGUUGAGAAAAAAGAAAAAAAGAAAAAAUAUUCAAAAAUAAAGAAGAAAAGAAGAAAAGAGAAAAGAGAAAAGAGGAAAGUUGAGAGAAAAGAGGAAAGUUGAGAGAAAAGAGGAGAGAGAAGAAGAGGAAGAGAGGUAAAAAGAAAAGAUCAUGUGAAAAACCCCUUCCUCAUAGAAAGAAAUAUCAUAGGAAGGAAAAUAAAUUUUUGAGCUUUAUGGAGAUCUUCAAGAAAUUGGAGAUUAAAGUUCCUAUGAUUGAAACAUGGAAACAGGUGCUUGGUGUUCUUAAUUUUAUGAAGAAAUUCAGAACGAAGAAGAAAAAGAAAAGAAUAUCAAGAAAGAGGAGUAUCAACACCUACUAAUGGGUGUUUGAUUUUAUUUUAUUUGAUUCGAUUUUAUUUUAUUUUAUUUGAUUUUUUGUGAUUUGAUUUAAUUUUGUUCUAUUUUAUUUGAUUUGAUUUGAUUAUAUUUUAUUUGAUUUUAUUUUAUUUCAUUUGAUCUGAUUUGAUUUGAUUUGAUUUUAUUUGAUUUGAUUUGAUUUUAUUUGAGUUAUUUUAUUUGAUUUGAUUGGAUUUUAUUUGAUUUGAUUUGAUUUGAUUUGAUUUUAUUUUAUUUUAUCUUAUUUUAUUUGAUUUGAUUUUAUUUUAUUUUACUUUAUUUUAUUUUACUUUAUUUUAUUUUAUUUAUUUUAUUUUAUUUUAUUUUAUUUUAUU